AUUCCUUCGGGGAUGAAAGUUAGUGGCGAACGGGUGAGUAAUGUAUGAGCAACCUGCCUCUGUCAACGGGAUAACAGUUGGAAACGACUGCUAAUACGGUAUAUGACCACGGCACCGCAUGGUGCAGCGGUAAAAGAUUUUAUCGGACAGAGAUGGGCUCAUAUCCCAUUAGGUAGUUGGUGAGAUAACAGCCCACCAAGCCGACGAUGGGUAGCCGAGCUGAGAGGCUGAUCGGCCACAUUGGGACUGAAACACGGCCCAGACUCC
rnacentral:rRNA from 1 species